UACAGAGGGUGCAAGCGUUAAUCGGAUUCACUGGGUUUAAAGGGUGCGUAGGCGGGUAAGUAAUUCCGUGGUGAAAUCUCUGAGCUUAACUCAGAAACUGCCGUGGAUACUAUUUGCCUUGAAUAUUGUGGAGGUGAGCGGAAUAUGUCAUGUAGCGGUGAAAUGCUUAGAUAUGACAUAGAACACCAAUUGCGAAGGCAGCUCACUACACAAUCAUUGACGCUGAGGCACGAAAGCGUGGGGAUCAAACAGG
rnacentral:rRNA from 1 species